GAUGAACGCUGGCGGCGUGCCUAAUACAUGCAAGUCGAACGCAGUGGGGACGGGUGAGUAAAACGUGGGUAACCUCCCAUCAGAGGGGAUAACACUUGGAAACAGGUGCUAAACCGAUACUGAUGGAUGGACUAGCGGUGCAUUAGCGAGUUGGUGAGGUAACGGCGCACCAAGGCCACGAUGCAUAGCCGGUCUGAGAGGGUGAUCGGCCACACUGGCACUGAGACACGGCCCAGACUCCUACGGGAGGCAGCAGUGGGGAAUAUUCGACAAUGGGCGAAAGUCUGACCCAGCCAUGCCGCGUGUGUGAAGAAGGUUUUCGGAUCGUAAAACACUGUUGUUGGAGAAGCGGUACCUAACCAGAAAGCCACGGCUAACUACGUGCCAGCAGCCGCGGUAAUAC
rnacentral:rRNA from 1 species